rnacentral:rRNA from 1 species
UACGUAGGGCGCAAGCGUUGUCCGGAAUUAUUGGGCGUAAAGAGCUCGUAGGCGGCCUGUUGCGUCCGCUGUGAAAACCCGGGGCUUAACCCCGGGCUUGCAGUGGAUACGGGCAGGCUGGAGGCAGGCAGGGGAGAACGGAAUUCCCGGUGUAGCGGUGAAAUGCGCAGAUAUCGGGAGGAACACCGGUGGCGAAGGCGGUUGCCUGGAGCUUUGCUGACGCUGAGGCGCGAAAGCGUGGGGAGCGAUCCGG